rnacentral:lncRNA from 1 species
GCUGUGUUAAGCUACUUAUAUCUUAUUCAGAAUCUGAAAUACUUGAUUGAUGCAUAAUUGGUUAAUUCUAAUAAUUGGUGAACUCUCCAUGCUAAAUUCCAGUUCUUAGUCCUAAAUAUCACAUGAAAUUUAUAUACUCUUCUUUUCAACUAGUAUAUCUAUAUGAAACAGUUACUUUCUAAUUAAAGCCCUCACUUUUUAACUUCAGAAGAUUAAAAUCUGAUUUUGUGUCUAAUAUAAGAAAAUUUUGUUUAGCUUAAUAUCAUUUAUGUUCUAUAGUUUUCCCUUUGAAAAUAGCAUAUGAUUUCCAAAAGAUUAUUUUCACAUAUACUAUGUCCAGGAUGCUAAAUAAAAAUAGAACAAAUAAAAAUAAGACUAAAUUUUCUAGAAUAAAUAAAAGUAAAAAAUAAUUUAAAAUUUAUUUACCUAAGGAUUUUGCUGUAAUUAUUUAAGCUACAACUAAAAAUUCUGUUUAAAUUUUGAUUUAGGAUAGUUUAAUUGCUGUAUCCAAUAUUAAAUUUUAGAUUCUUAGAAUUUUUGAAAAAUCUUUUGAUAACCUGUGCAUUGAAAUUUUCCUUAUCAUAAUUUUUAGACCAUAUUUUGACAACUGCAAUUCUAUUUAACUCUAACCAUUUAGAGCUUGAUUACAUAUUAUUUUUCAUUACUUAAGUUCUUUCUCAUCCAGAUCAUAAUGUACAUAAGCACAAGGGCAGAAAUUAUCAAAUAUGUGCUCAAAAAUGUUUGAAUGAAUUAAUAAAAUAUAUUUUUGUUUUAAAUCUGAUAAUGGGAUUUCCUGUUGAGGCUCAGUGGUUAACAAAUCUGACUAGGAACCAUGAGGUUGCGGGUUCGAUCCCUCGCCUUGCUCAGUGGGUUAAGGAUCUGGCGUUGCCAUGAGCUAUGGUGUAGGUCGCAGACACAAUUCAGAUCCCACGUUGCUGUGGCUCUGACGUAGGCCGGUGGCUACAGCUCUGAUUCAACCCCUAGCAUGGGAACCUCCAUAUGCAGUGGGUGCAGCCCUAGAAAAGACAAAAACACAAACAAACAAAAAAACUUAAAAUGUCUCACACAGAGUAGGCACUCAAAUAAUUACCAGCUUCUUAAUAAGCUGAUAACAAUAAGAUAUAUUCCUAAGGCAUUCAUACUUUAUUAGUGCUCUUAAGAAUUACUUUUUUGCUUUGUUUAAAAUGGCGAAUUAUUUUCUGUUGGCCAAGUGUUUUUCAUGUCCAUAAAUAUCAGCAUAAAAUUAGAAUGAGAUGAAGGAUUCUGCUGACAAUGCAGGGCAGCAAAAUUCACCAUCAAACAAAAUGUAAGUACCAGGUAGUUAUUUAUGCUACUACUCCUUCACUUUUUCUUUGGGCUCUGUUCCUUCUGAGUUAUUGAGUAAGAGUAACAAUAAAAAAGAGUGGUAAGAGUAACAAUAAAAAAGAGAAAUAUGCUAAGGUAUGUAGAUAAUAGACAAUGUGAUCCUUGUGACUGAGUCCCCACAUCACAUUAAUUAGUCACAGAGGAAAUUAUAAGUAAAGAGCCCCAAGGAUCACAUGGAAGUUAGUUUUAGACAAUCCUAGUUCUAUCUCUUUUGAUCUGAGAAAAAUACAGGUAAAAAUCUAGUAGAGUUUAUAUUGAGGAAUUAUUGCAAUUAAUGACUAAACAGCAUCCCCCAAAUUCUGAAGAAAUGAUUAUUAUGUUACUGACUACCACAUAAAAUAUCCAUUGAAUAUCCACAGUAGGGCAGAGAGUAGUAGUAAGAAAGAACUGUCAGACAGAGUUGACAUAGCUCAUUUUGAUGCAGAGUACUCUGGGGACAUAUUGUAUAAGGUUGAAGACGACUGUAAAUACUCAAAGGCAAACAAUGCACAAACACUGAAUGUGAAUUUGAGAAUAUAUGAGGGAGCCAAAGGUGUACAUAAUCCACAAUAUGAAUAGUUUAUUAAGGGACAAAUGAUUUAUCACUUCCCAAUAAAUUAAACAUGCCCUAAACUAAUCAUUGUUCCAUUUAUAUUCCAAACAAUUUCAAUAUCCAACCUCUUAUUAAUUUUAAUGAAACGUAAUUUUUAGUUUUCAAAAAAACUUUAGAGUCAUUUCAUAUUUUUCUUUCUUUUUUCAUAAAUGUCUCAUAUAUACAAUGAGUCACCAAGUUAGAUUUGUUUCUCUAAUUUAGAAAUAUCACCAAUCUUUUUGCCAUGACUCCAGUCCAAGCCUUCAUCACAGAACCUGAAAUUACAGUAGACUCUUAAAUGAUUUUUCUAUCUCCCCUCAUCAAAUCUACACUGUACAUGUUUACUACAUAAUCUUUCUAUAUAUUCAUUUUUUGACUCUCUUCUUAAAUAUCUUCACUGACUCUUAACCAUGUCCGGAAUAAAGUCCUAUCCACUGUGAUUGGUUUUCACAGCUCUUCAGAGAUUGGCUCUGUAUUGGCAGUCUAACUUUAACGCUUAGCCUUUAUCUAACAUGAGCCCUGUAUGUGAACUAGGUUGUCGUUCCCAAGGUUGGGUGGACAAUUCCAUCCCAAAUUCGUUUUGUGCUUUUUUCUCUGGCUGGAAUUUAUCUACUCUCUUAUCUAUGUAACUAAAUCUAACCAUCCAUUAAAACAUAGCUACCACUCCUCCUUUUCCUAAAAGCCUUUAGUGUCUGAAAACAUGCUUGCUAAUAUUGUUUAGAAGUGAAAUAUUUAAUGUGAAUUCCUAUGUCCUCUCCAAAAUUAAGAACUAGCUCACAUUUUAUUCCUCUUAUCUACAUCUCUAGUACUCUUCUACUCUGUGAUUCAUAUGUAGUCAGUAAAUUCACUUAGAAUAUGCAAUGAGGUUCUUAUCUUAAAAAUAGUUACCAAAUCAAAUCAGAUUUGAAAAAUAUGAAAAUUCAUUUGUAAUGAGUGCUUUGCUUUCAAUAUAUAUUUGAGUUCUGACAAAAUACUUAGAUAAUCUGUUCUCUAAAUGCCUAAAACACAUUUCACUUUCUAAAAAGUUGUCAAGCAAAUCUUUUGUUCAAAAGCAUAAAUAAUAUAAAUUUCAAUUCAGCUUCAUAUUUCAAUUAUCACUAUUAUCAAUAUUCAAAUAAGCUGCAUCUAAAUUAGGUCUUUUUUAGCACCAAAUCAUCAAGUGGAUCUGUUUGAUAUCAAUAAUUACUAAGGGAUUAUGAAUAUUACCAAACAGGGAAUUAAUCAAUUCUUUAACUAGAAUCAAGGAAUAGUCAUAAAAACCCUGUUACAUCAAAGCCUUAUUUUUCCUGGACAGGAAUAUGAAGUAUUUAAUCUAGAGAAAAAUGACCCUCAUAUUCUAUUAAGAUUCACUUCUACUACUCAAGGCUUUCAAUUAUGUAACACUACAAUGAGAUCAUGGUAAAAAUGUCAAGAUAAACAUAUUUUAACUCAUGAUGAACAUAUUCAACAGAGUCCUCUGGAUGCAAACCUUCCUGCAAAGUAUUUUGUUGCUGUGUUUUCAAAUUGCAAAACUUUAACAAACCAAGGACUGAAGAAGCACAAAAGGCAAAUUAAUUAAAUCAUAUUCCAUUUUUUAAUGGAAAAUUUAUGUCAACACUUAUAAAGAUGUAACCAUCAUGUUUUUAAUGAAAAAUCUGACUGCAAUUUCAUGCCAUUUUCAGUAUCAUGUUGGGAAAAUAGUAUUGAAGGGGAAAUCUUUUGAACAAAUUGAUGAAAAAAACCAUGAGUCCACAAAUAAUUACAAGAUUUUAUCUUCGAAAAGAGUAAAAUCUGUCCUUUGACAAUUCCACAGAAUGUAACAAAAACAUAUUUUAUGAUAGUUUUAAAAUGAGGGAUUAAAAAAACAAAGUGACAGGAUUUUUAAAUAUUUUAUGGCUAUAUAUAUUAACAGAUACCUACGACCUGCACAUUCACCUCAAGUCUCAUAAUUCCAUCUGUAGGAAAAGAAGAAUAACUUAUUUAAGAGAACUUAACUAAUACAUUUCUAAAACAUGCUUAUUAAAAGGUUUCCAAAGUGCUGAGGGAGAACUGUUAAAUGAUUAGAAACAAUCACACUCUGUCAAUUUCUUUGGAUUACAAAUUACAUAUACUUUUUGUUUGUUUCACUGAAUGAGUACAACCAAUUUUAAAAUUAGUACAGAUGCAUUUUAAAAUGGCAAAUUAUAAAGUGCACUGCCAAAGUGCUAUGAUAAUUGUUAUCGACAAAUGUACGUACAAAGAGUACUGCAUUAGAAUGUUUCAAAGCAACUAAUAGUGUUUGCUAGCAGAACUAUAAGGUGAAAAAAUUUAGAAAAAUAGAACUACCUGUCUCACUAAAACCUUACAUAAAAUAUCCCCAUUUUUAUUUGAUUAAUAUAUAAACAAACUGACCUCUAAAUCCACAAAAUAAUUUCUUAAUGCACACUCAGACUUGCAUAAAUAUUGAGACUGAAAGAUGGGUCAUGAGAAUAGCUGAGAGAUGGUGACAACCAUGAAAAGACAUACCUAAUUUAAAAAGAGAGAUCAUGGCAAGGACUGGUGUGUACAUGCUAAAUAGGCUGGAGAGGGAGCAGAGCUGGUAGAAGGUAACAGACAUCAACUAAGUUGGAAUAGAACAAGUGGUCAUAAACAAAAGUGAUCGUGAAACUCAGAAAAGUAGAAUGAAAGUUGAUUUAUAUAUAAAUUGUUUAUAUGUAUAUAUACAUAUACAUGCAAUUAGGACUAUAUAUAUAUGUAUACAUAUAUAUAUACACACUGCAGAGUUACUAAGUAAAAUUCAUUUGUAAUGCAAAUUAGAUAAAUUUUAGAAUGAUUUAUAGUUGAAAUUUUGCCACAACUAGCUCACAAAAUUAUGAGAAUGAAACAUAACAGUUGUGAAAGUGCUAACUCUAAAAUGCUAUAUUCACAAAAGACACAAUAUUUACUCAAAAUGCAAAGAGAAGACAAACAAUAAGCUCUCUGGAGCACAGAUGGGAGAAAAUCUUACUCUGGUCCAUUCCCAGAUUUUUUUGGAAGCACAGGUUCUCCAGUCACUCUAUUGGAUGGCUUUAAAUGCAGAACAAAGACACUAUAAUUUGGUCUAAUGGACAUGAUGGCAAAGUCACAGAAAUGCGUGGAGAAAAUUUUCAGUCUGUGGAAGAAAGAGAUUCCCUUUCCUGCCUCUUAACCCACAUAAAGUCUUAUCGCCUGCACAAGUGUGAUCUCAAAUAAUACUAAUUUAUUCUCUUUGAGGAAGGGAAUAAGAGGGGCAGGAAAGGUAAUAAAAAUUUGCUAAAACAUGCCAAAAUACAAAACAUUUUCCUUUAAAACUACUAGAAUAGAAAAACAACUCUAAGAUGCAUCACGUAUAUGUAAAUUACAAUGACAGCUUUACACCUAGGGAACUAAAGUUAGUGAAAAGAAAUGACUUAUUUAAGGCCACUUAUUCAACACCACAAAGUCAAUAUUUCUAAGUCUGAGUCACAUCAAAGCCCUGGCACUUUGCCCAACACAGCCUAU